rnacentral:pre_miRNA from 1 species
UCAGCAUCAGUUUGUAUGGAAUGGGAUCGUUUGCCUACGUUUACCGCUAGGGGCGCUGUUCCAACUGCAUACAAAAUUGGGCUA